rnacentral:rRNA from 1 species
GACGAACGCUGGCGGCGUGCUUAACACAUGCAAGUCGAACGGCAAGGCCCUGCUUUUGUGGGGUGCUCGAGUGGCGAACGGGUGAGUAACACGUGAGUAACCUGCCCUUGACUUUGGGAUAACUUCAGGAAACUGGGGCUAAUACCGGAUAGGAGCUCCUGCUGCAUGGUGGGGGUUGGAAAGUUUCGGCGGUUGGCGAUGGACGCGCGGCUUAUCAGCUUGUUGGUGGGGUAGUGGCUUACCAAGGCUUUGACGGGUAGCCGGCCUGAGAGGGGGACCGGCCACAUUGGGACUGAGGUACGGAGCAGACUGCUACGGGAGACAGCGGUGGGGAAUAUUGCACAGUGGGCGGAAGCCUGAUGCAGCAGCGCCGCGUGCGGGAUGACGGCCUGCGGGUGGUGAACCGCUUUCGCCUGAGACGAAGCGUGAGUGACGGUAAUGGAUGAAGAAGCACCGGCUAACUACGUG